GUCAGUCAUGCUUUGUGUUUCUCAUGCCCAGUGUUUGUUGUUGGCUUAAAGAAACAAGGCAGAUUGAUUGGCACUUUAUUAUAUAGCUUGUGAACAUUUGAAAACAGCCACUAUGCUUUUUGGGCAACUAAAAAAAUUUACUGGUAGCUUUUAAAACUUUGUAUUCUAGAGAGAACUUAAAACAAAAAACCACUUUUCUCUUGGACAGGCAAGAUGGCUCAGCUGGAAAAGGCAUUUGCCACCAAGUCUAUUGGCCUGAAUUUGAUUGCAAGGGCCCACAUGACAGGAGAGAUGGUCACAAGUUCUCUUUUUACCUCUGCAUACGUGAAUUUGCUUAUGCACCCUGUCUCCAUACAAAAUAAAUUUAAACAUCUCUUUUAGGGCUCUAUUUUGUAGGUUUUAAGCUUUAUGGUUUUCUUGUGGUUUUAUGACUUCUAAGAUUUUUUUUUCUUUGAUGAUUAAUUCUUUUGAUUGAAGAUCCAAUUUUCUUUUGAUUUGUAUUAGUUUAAAAAUGAUUACAUUGCUACUUUAUAUAUGGCAGUUUUUUUUUUUUUUUUUUUUUUUGGUUGGUUGGUUGUUCCCUGUGCAAAGUUAAUCUUUGUCGUAAACACCUGUAUUUGUACUGUGUGCUCUUUAUGACCUUAAGUACUGAGGAGGUGGGGUCUAUGACAUAGAACUCAGAAUUUAUUGCAAAGGAAAUGCAUGUAAAAGGUGUGUAAUUUAUUAUUUAUAAUUAUGAUUUGCGCUGUGAAUGAAGAAGAGUCCAUGGAACUCCUAACCUGAUAAGUGCUGCUCAGCGAAGGUCAUUCAUUUGGAUUUUUUUCUUCCCUGAUAGCUCAUUUUCUGGCUGUGCAAAAAGGCAGGCUUUUAGUUGUAAAUUUUCUAGGUACUAAGUUAUCAGGUGUGGUGGGGAUUCUGUAAUUUUUAUUUUUCUUGGUUAACUGGUAAACUUUGAGGCUCAGAUCUAUUCAGCAACACCUGGUUUGUAUCCACUGUAGACCUUGAAAUCUUUAACAGCUGGGAUACAAUUUUCAUCUUUCCUUUAAAAGACAAUACAAUCAGGC
rnacentral:lncRNA from 1 species